ensembl:snRNA U6 U6 spliceosomal RNA
GUGCUUUCUUCGGCAGCACAUAUACUGAAAUCGGAAUGAUACAGAGAAGAUUAGCAUGGCCUGUGCAAGGAUCACACGCAAAUUCUUGAAGCAUUCCACAUUUUG